rnacentral:rRNA from 1 species
AUGGCCCACACUGCCUCUUUCAAGAAAGUCAAGGCUUUCUCUCAGUCUGACCUCGAUGAUGCAAACAACUUCACCAACAUCUCCUCCCACAACAAGCUCGUGAGAUAUAGAGAUGAGGGGAAGGCGAGGAAAGGGGAGGACUUUAACCCGAGCCAGGGUCCCAUUGAUCCAGAGCUGUUGAUGAUAUCUGGUGGCGGGAGGUCCCAUGGCUCCAUAGCCAUUGGAGAUGGACUUAUCCGUUGUCCUAGCACUCUCCCGGAGAUCAAGGCGCGCCAGUCGAGCUCCGCUCCUGAGAUAAGGCCUCGUAAACGGCCAGUGCAACUCGCCAUCAAGGCUGCUAUACAGAAUGAGAGAGAUAGAACGGAGAAACUUCUGGCGGAAGCGGCGGAGAGGCAGCGGGAGUUGGAGGAGAGGACGACAAAGAUGAUGGAGGAGGAGAGGGCAUGGAAUGACAUGCAGGCAAGGGCCAUGUACGAGCUCCUUGUGCCUGUGUGCGAGAAGACAGGUCAGACCGCUCCGCCGAUGCCAGUGAUUGCUCUUGGGACCACGCGUAACUCCAGACAAGCAUCGCACGAUCCUUCUCCAGCUACCGACACGAGCCACCCCGCUCCUACACCUCCUGGAUCUUGGUAA